rnacentral:rRNA from 1 species
CCUACGGGAGGCAGCAGUGGGGAAUCUUGCGCAAUGCUCGUAAGAGUGACGCAGCGACGCCGCUGGGGGGAAUGAAGGUAUUCGGAUUGUACAGUUCUGUUGAAGGGGAACAAGAGCGGAGAGAGGAAAUGCUUUCUGAUUGAUAUUACCCUUCGAGGAAGUCACGGCUAACUACGUGCCAGCAGCAGCGGUAAUACGUAGGUGGCGAGCGUUAUCCGGGAUGAUUGGGCGUAAAGGGUGCGUAGGCGGCCUGCUAAGUCUGGAGUGAAAGGUACCGGCUCAACCGGUACAGGCUCUGGAAACUGGCGGGAUAGAGAGCAGGAGAGGGCGGUGGAACUCCAUGUGUAGCGGUAAAAUGCGUAGAUAUAUGGAAGAACAUCAGUGGCGAAGGCGGCCGCCUGGCCUGUUAACUGACGCUGAGGCACGAAAGCGUGGGGAGCAAAUAGGAUUAGAUACCCCUGUAGUC